rnacentral:rRNA from 1 species
GCCCAGAGACGCACUCUCAGAGUUUGAUCCUGGCUCAGGACGAACGCUGGCGGCGUGCUUAACACAUGCAAGUCGAACGGGGUGACGAUGAAAGCUUGCUUUCAUAAUAGCCUAGUGGCGAACGGGUGAGUAACACGUAACUAACCUGCCCUUCAGUGGGGGACAACAGGAGGAAACUCCUGCUAAUACCGCGUACCUUUUAACAAUCGCAUGAUUGAUAAAAGAAAGGUGGCCUCUAUUUAUAAGCUAUCGCUGAAGGAUGGGCCUGCGUCCGAUUAGCUAGUUGGUGAGGUAAUGGCCCACCAAGGCGACGAUCGGUAGCCGGUCUGAGAGGAUGAACGGCCACAUUGGAACUGAGACACGGUCCAG